GACGAACGCUGGCGGCGUGCCUAAUACAUGCAAGUAGAACGCUGAAGGCCGGGCUUGCGUCUGUGGAUGAGUAGCGAACGGGUGAGUAACGCGUAGGUAACCUGCCGGGUAGCGGGGGAUAACCCGUGGAAACGGUAGCUAAUACAUGAUAACCGUCGAUAGUGAAUGAGAUGUGCAAGAAAGGUGCAAUUACAUCACAACCAGAGGAGCCGGCGUCGUAUUUGCUUGUUGGGGGGGUAACGGCUCACCAAGGCGACGAGACAUAGCCGGCCUGACAGGGGGGUCGGCCACACUGGGACUGAGACACGGCCCAGACUCCUACGGGAGGCAGCAGUAGGGAAUCUUCGGCAAUGGGCGGAAGUCUGACCGAGCAACGCCGCGUGGGUGACGAAGAUUUUCGGGUCGUAAAGCUCUGUCGUGAGAGAAGAACGCGUGUCGGAGUGGAAAGUUCAGACUGUGACGGUAUCGUACAAGAAAGCCCCGGCUAACUCCGUG
rnacentral:rRNA from 1 species